GAUGAACGCUGGCGGCGUGCUUAACACAUGCAAGUCGAGCGAGAAGUUUUGAAAAGAUUCUUCGGAUGAAAUUUAAAAUGGAAAGCGGCGGACGGGUGGGUAACGCGUAGGCAACCUGCCCCAUACAAAGGGAUAGCAUUUGGAAACGAAUAUUAAUACCUUAUGAAACUUAACUAGUGCAUGCUAGGUAGGUCAAAGAUUUAUCGGUAUGGGAUGGGCCUGCGUCUGAUUAGCUAGUUGGUGAGGUAACGGCUCACCAAGGCGACGAUCAGUAGCCGACCUGAGAGGGUGAACGGCCACAUUGGAACUGAGACACGGUCCAAACUCCUACGGGAGGCAGCAGUGGGGAAUAUUGCACAAUGGGGGAAACCCUGAUGCAGCAACGCCGCGUGAACGAUGAAGGCCUUUGGGUCGUAAAGUUCUGUUCUAAGUGAUGAAAACUGACAGUAACCUAGGAGAAAGCCCCGGCUAACUCCGUG
rnacentral:rRNA from 1 species